GCUGUACAUGAUGAAAAUGUGGCUCCCUCUACUGAAUAUUAUGAGAAAAGCCUAAUUGUUACCUGAAUGUUCUGAGUCACAGC